rnacentral:rRNA from 1 species
ACGACGCUGGCGGCGUGCCUAAAACAUGCAAGUCGAACGGGGUCUUCGGACCCAGUGGCGAACGGCGGAGUAAUACAUAAGCAACGUGCCCUGAAGACUGGGAUAUACGAUGGAAACGUCGGGCAAUACCAGAUGUGGUUGGGAGGAGUCAUCUUCAUCCAAUUAAACGGAUUUAUUCGCUUCGGGAGCGGCUUGUGGCCUAUCAGCUAGUUGGUGAGGUAAAGGCUCACCAAGGCGACGACGGGUAGGGGGUCUGAGAGGAUGAUCCCCUCGAGUGGGACUGAGACACGGCCCACACACCUACGGGUGGCAGCAGUUGGGAAUCUUGCACAAUGGGGGAAACCCUGAUGCAGCGACGCCGCGUGGAGGAUGAAGGAUUUCGGUCUGUAAACUCCUUUUACAGGGAAAGACUUAGGACGGUACCCUGUGAAUAAGCUCCGGCUAACUACGUG